UCUGGAGUGCCAAAGGUUGCCUAUGCCUGACCUAGAUUGAGGAGAUAUGAGAACCGUUUACAAUAAAGUAUAUUGCCAAAACGGCGGAGUUCUAGUUACCCCAAUAACCUGUUCCACUUUCUCGGCUCCAGCCUAUGUUACCGUUUAAAUUGCAUUGUUACAUGUACCCAUCCUUGAUACAGACUGUCAAUCUGUAACUUCGUGCGAUUCAUGCCUAUGACAAAUGUUUCUGUAAUACUGUAAUCCUUUUACCAUUGACGUAUCACAAUAAAAAUUAUAUAUUGAAAAAAACAAACUAUAAUUCUCCAUGAAAAGGUUACUUACUCCCUGGACCAUUACUAGUUGGAGUCAGUACAUUCAGUGUUUUGCUAUGAAAUGUUGCACAGCGUUUAACCCCUCUGUGGGCAAACGCGUACCUCCACCUCCAGCAUUGUCAUUGGGGUGUUUUUCUUGCUAAUACAAAGUAUGUGACCCCCGGCUGCCACUCCUUGAGGGUGGUGAUGUCAGCAGAGAGGGAUCAAAGAGGUUUGUUUUUUGGGAUGGGGGAGUGGAGUAGCAGUUUAGAAAGGAUUACUCUGAACAAAAGCAUAGUAAUUUUAAAAAGUUUAAAAUUUAGGGCCAAAAUAGCUGACGUGGAAACAAUCUCCGAGCCAGCUGUGCUUCCAGUUUAGCUAGUCUGGUAUUAAAUUUUAAAUUCACUUUGAAUUCUUGUCAAUUCUCUCAUUAGUAAAUAACAAUGAAAGGGAAUUCCAAAAGUUAUACCAAAAUAGCCAAAUUAUAAAAAUAGUUUUAUUGUCAGUUGUUUACUGUUUGACCAUUUUGGCCUUAAAUUUGAAAUUCACUUUAAAUUUGCCGGUUAUUCUUUAGUGAAUAACCCUGUGAGCCUUCUCUCGUUUUCAAGUAUGUCAUGGGACAACAGUGAUUUAAAAUUAGAAAGCGCCUGGCCCUGCGGGGUAACCUCAUAUUCCUUGGUCAUUAUUCAGCCAUGCAGAGCAAUAUUUGAACCUAAUGACUCCCACGACAUAGCUAUCCAUUCCAUCGUGUUUGCCCACCAGGUCUGAUUGGGAGACGUGAGUUUAAUGCAUCCUUUAACUUUCCUCUAAAACAAAAUUUUCCGAAUUUAGGAAAUUGGGACAGCUCAAUAGAAAUUUUUUUUUUAUCCAACUCAUUGAUCAGGAACCAGGAUUUGUGUUCAUACACAAUGUUAAACAUCUUUUUGCCCUAGCUUGACACAAGAGGAUUAAGUGGAAUGUCUCCAAAGAGUCAAGAGCUUGCAGCAUACUAGCUCAGAGAGAAACUAUACACUUCAAUUCUACGUCUGUGGAUGCAGGGAGUGUGUGUGUGAUAUUCUGUCAUUUGCCAGCAAUCCAGAUGAAGGAAAGAUGUUUAUCCACACACAGGAUAUAUCCUAAACUGCAGAUUUUAUUGUUGUGGAUUAGCAAUGCUUUAGCUCUCACAUAAGCCUUUCUCAAGCUACCAAGGCUCAUUUAGCAGUCAUAACAUUGCCCUUUCACUCAAAUACAGUGCAAUGUGGGACAUAUCUUGUGUGAGCCCAGAUAUAAUUUCCUUCAUCUAUUAUGGCUAAGGUACCCUUGUGUUGAUCCCUUAUUAUAAAAUGUGUGGUCGUAAUUUGGAAUUUUGAAGAUUUGCCAGCAAUUCCUAGCACAGUUUGGGUUCUUUUAAAAACCUCUAUAGUUAUUUCAUGCUGUCUUGAAAUGUGUUUUUAUCAAAAUUAUAAUUGUCCAUCCGCUUUCAUGGCUUAUGAAUACAUACAGUUGCAAACAACCUGAAAAGACCCACCUUCACUUUUGAUUGCAAUUAAGCUACUUAAAUGUUAAGCUAACGCGCACCGUUUUCAUUAUUUUGUUCACUGUUACUUCUGAGGCAGUGUGUGUGUACAGACAGUUUAAAAACGUUUUGAUAUUCACUAAGCUUCACAAAUUACUGUGGUUCACGAGAGCAAAUUUAAAGACCAUUACAUGUGGCAACAGAAACUAGAAAGCAAUGCAAUAGUAUUGUGACACAAAGCCUGCUAGUAAAACCACUGUUUACGCAUCCAAGCCAUGCCUAUAUCAAUGACAGUUCCUGCCAUUAAUUUUACCUGGUAAAUGUAAAAUGCAAGUUCUAAUACAAGUCCCGUCAUGUCUCAAAGGGCAGCUGGGCAAAAUUUUAAUUACGAUCCAGGGGCGAUUCGCCUAUUUGCAUUAUAAGGAUCUACAACAGCUCAUAUUACUUAAUGAGUUACUCCAUCCACCUCCCAGAAAGCUAGAAGCUGUCUAACAUGCUCUCUCAGCCAAUAAGCUAAAGCCUGCACUGCUUGGUUUAGCUCUGGAAAGGUAAAGAAAGCUCCUGGUAGGAGCUUCUGGCCCACAGACCAGGAGCAAUGCCUGGUGGACAUCAGGAAAUGAGUCAAACAGUUCCACUACGUACAUUGGGGGUGUCAGAGAACUGAAGUGGUUAUGGUGAUCGGAGCAUUCCUCUACGUGGCUGUUAAUGGAAAACAAAGCUAUAAGAUUUAGGAGAUUAGACGUGAGGGAUCAUCAAGUUUAUGUAAUAGCAUGAAAAGCAGCUGUAAAUCGUGGGAAGUCAGGAUUUCAAUGACAAAUUCAUAAAUGUAGAUGGGAAGUCAUUCGAAGGUUGUUUAACACAAGGGAUGACAAGUAAGAAGAACAUCUGCCUGUCUUUCCAUCUCACAUUAAACAGACAUCCAACAGGAAAUUUGAUUUACUGCUUGCAAAAGACGUAUCAAAUAACAGACGUAGUUGAGAUAUUUUUGCAAGGCAUAGGAACCUCAAUGACCUGUUUCAUUCUAGUCUUUAAUCAUGCCACUGCGCCCUCUACAGUUACCCUCUUAUUACACACUUGUGUCAUAUGCUACAUUUCUGCAAGUCAUUAACAUAGUAUUGCCAAGCUCUUUGGAGUAAUAGCUAUAUUUCUGUUGUGUAGAUGGCCAUCAUUUCUAAAAAUGUGCUCAUUAACAGACAGUUCUUGAAAAUCUCACUUUGUUUCUCUCCGAGCAAGGUCAGGGGAGGUGAAAGCCUCAGUACUUCAUGGAAUCUAC